GACCGUCGCCCCCCUCGCACUUUCGUCCGCCGCUCGCUCCACAAUCCAUUGGUUGCCACCGCGACCUCCAUCAUCCAUCCCCAUCCGAUCCCGGGCUUACUGCUCGCUGCCGCGCCCAAUCUCCGCAGCCUGCACGGUCCCGUUGUCCACCGGAUCAAUCCAGCACCUCCACGACGGUCCCCUCGACGAGACCACUCGGUUUUGCCGCUCCCCGUCGCCUGCCGUCCGCCGGAACGCUGCCACCGCGAGCAGUCCCAUAACCGGCCGCCGUCGGUCGGAUUCUGGCCAUCCCUGUUCUUCUCCACACCUGGUGGUGCAAUUCUACUACUGGAAAGCACAUGAGCUGGCAGCAAGGAGGGAACAAAGUGCCGUUGGUUCAAGACAGUCUGCUAUCCAGUUAUAAUACAUCAGUCAAGAGGAAUAGCAGUACCAUUACCAUACAAUCACACACUUGCACGAACCAUAUUUGGAUCAAUUAACACUGCAGAAAUUGCUUUUGAGGAAUGAUUUUGCAUUAGGUGUUGCUAUGUGGGAGAAUUAUUCAGAAGAGUUAAAGAAACAGUUGUUGAUAUUUUUGCCAUACUGGUUGUCCAAUGAAUCCAUUUUCGCCGUUGAUUCCUCUGAGCUACAGAGCUGAACCAAUCUAAUUCUUCAAUGGUAAUUUGGAUCUGCCUCAUGCUUCAGCGAUAUAGCUAGAGGGGAGGUAUGAUUUUCUCAAGCUCCACUGGGAAUGCUGGUACAGUAUAUUCCCAUCAACGUCAUAAAAGAUGAAGUCAGCUUGAUCCUGGUGUAGCUGGAGGGACUUGAACCCUUGCCCAUCAGAAAAGAACUCGAGGCUAUCUUGAUUUGGCUGGAAGAAUCCUCUCCAUGCUCUGGAACCACCACCACCUGUGAAGUAUUGGAUUGGACUGGAAGCAACAGAAGCGUGUACGCUAUGUAGGUAAGACCACUUCACGUGAUUUGUUAAUAUUGGCAUGCAUGUUGAAUUCUAAAUUACUAUAAAAAUUGACUUUGGUAUAAAUGGAUGCUAACCUGUCUCUGCUGCUUAUGUGUUCCAGGCAGUGGUCAUACUCAUUGAUGUAGAAGUCAAUGCCGUUAAUCUGGAAUGUUGCAAAAUUAUUAAGAAACAAUCCUUUUCUGUAUACAACAAUAUGAUUGAUAUGAAAGCUUCCACAGGUAUUCUAGGGGCUACCUGAUUCUGCAGUACAUGUCUUGGUGGAAAAGUGGCCAGAGCGUUGAGAUUUGUAAGGUGAGUAUACUACUUUGUAAGGUGAGUACAUGUCUAGGUAUGUAAUUAUGAAACAUUUCCACAAAUAAUUUUUAGUAUCUUCUUCUAAAGUAAUAAUUUUAUAGUAUUUUUUGGGUUAAUAAUUAUCUCCUUUUUUGAUACAAAUUGGACGAACUAUUUGUGGUAUACCUUAAUACUUACUUUAUAUAUAAUGUGGUUCAUAAUAUUCAAUAUUUCAUGAUAUUUACUUUUGUGUUGUACUAUAGUUUUUUCUGCCCGUAGCAACUAACGGGCAUGAUCCUAGUCAUUUAUAAUGGAGGUUCAUGCUGCAAACCUUAGGUACUGAUACCAUUUAUAAUGGACGUUCUUUACAAUACCAUUGUUCACGAGUGAAAAUCAAUCAGAAUUUAUCUGAAACAAAAUUUUCUUGUGUUCAGACGCCGGUCGAAAAUAAAAAUUUAUUGUGUUUAGACGCAGUGUGAUUUGUUGCAUACUUUCGCUGUGUACUCCCUCCGUUCCAUAAAAAGUACAAUUCUGCAUUUGAACAAAAACCCACAAAGAGUGCAACUUUAGAGGUUGGAUCUCAACUUCAUGCCUAAAUAAAAAUGGUAAGAUUUGAUUUGCAUGUCAAAAUUAACUGCAUGUGGCAAACCCAUGAGGGUAUAAGAGUCUUUUCAUGCGAUCACUAAUCUAUCUUAAAAAGCUAUAAUUGCACUUUUCAUGAGACGGAUGGAGUAUGUCUAUUUAGUUGUUAGAUUUGAUGUUUUAUAUUAUUUGCUCGACCCACCACCGGAAACCCGCUAUUUGCCGUGUGUGCUCGAAAGCACGGUAAAGAACCUCUUCGCCGUGUGCACACACGGUAAAGAUAAACACACGGCAAAACACGUGUGCUUUUUUUGGCACAUGGUGAAGCCACUUUGCCGUGUGCUAUAUUUUGGCACACGGCAAAGUAAUAUAUAUCCAUGUGUUUAUUUACACACGGCAAAAUAAUAAAAAAAUUAUCUUCUCAUCUCGAAAUUUUUGACAUAUGGAAAUUUAAAAAAAAUCGGAUAUUUGCCGUGUGCCUUGAUCUCGCACACGGCAAAGACUUACUUUGUCGUGUGCCAAAUCAAGGCACAUGGCAAAUGACUAAGCUUUGCCAUGUGCUAAGUGAGAUUUAAAUUUUGUAAAUGAUCUCGGAUGGAGAAACGGCCAAAAUGAAAGUUGUAGAUUUUGAAAAAUUAUGAUACUCUGUAGUUGACAACUUUUUUAUUUGAAUUCGUUUAAGGUCUCACUCGGUAUAAAUGAAUCUAGCUUUUAAAAGAUAGUACACUGCGUAGGCCGAUAGAACUGAUCCAUAUCAGCCCUCCUGCUAAGGUUGAGCCAACUACUAGUUCAUAGCAAUUAAAAGAUAGUACAAGAGAUUACUUCUUUAAUGAUCUAGCUUUUAGCACAAUAAUAUAUAAAUGAAUCUACGUCUUAAUUAAGAGAUAGCUCUUCUCUUUCAUCUCCUUUUCUCUCUUCCACCUAGACAUACAUAUUGUAUUUAACUCCGUAUAUGCUAGCUGCCUUGGCAUCAUUGGAGGAGGCCUCAGGAGAACUAGUAAUCGCCAUCGACGACAUGGCUAUGAUAUGGCGAACAAAUACACAGAAGCACGUCGCAUUACUGUAUGAUUAUUACAUGCAGCAUUUCUGUCAUGGAUUUGACGCUCCAGUUGACGCGCAGGCACAGCCGAGGACGGCGUGGCAGUCGCACGCGUGCGCAUGGACCCCGACCGCGCGCAACGGUUGCACGGCAACGAAACCCCAAGCGUGCAAGCAAACGCGCGUCCAUGCACAUCGCCCGGCCUGCGUCCGCCGCCGUCCUCCUCCCUCCAUGCACGCGUGGAGGGGCAAGCACCUGAGACGGCCAUGCUGGCAGCAAGCAAACCGGGGCAGCGGGCGGCGAGGUGCCAGUGCCUGGCGCCGGCUGAAGUAUUUAAUGCACCCAGGUGGGCGGCCACGCGACCACGACGUCUUUGUGCUGCGUCGCCGUUGGCGGACCGCGCGUCGGCAGCCGGCCGGUUGCUUGCGGCGGCAGGCAGCAUGUAUGCGUGCCGCCGAACGUGGGGAAGGCGGUUGCAGACAUGGAGUGGCAGUGCAGUGUGCAGCGACGUGCUGUGGUUCUCACGAGGGGUAAAUAUCCCUGGCAAGUUACUUUUCACCAUUGCUGCAGUUCUUAUGGCCUCCUUCCUGACAACACAUUCCGUUAGGCAACCCCCAAGAACAGCGUCUAGCUCCUCUUUGCAAUCUAAUACGCUUAAUGGUUUUACGUUGUAUGGAACCCUCCUUUAAAUUCCCUUUGCAAAAGUUGAGCAAACUCUGACCCAUAUAAGGUUAGCCCAAACUUUACUUGAUUUGUAACAUCGGUAUAACUUUUUUGUUCCAUUUGAUUUGUUACAUUGUGUAUAAAUUCUUUGUUCUGUGA